rnacentral:rRNA from 1 species
CCUACGGGGGACAGCAGUGAGGAAUAUUGGUCAAUGGGCGUAAGCCUGAACCAGCCAAGUCGCGUGAGGGAUGAAGGUUCUAUGGAUCGUAAACCUCUUUUAUAAGGGAAUAAAGUGUGGGACGUGUCCUGUUUUUUAUGUAUCUUAUGAAUAAGGAUCGGCUAACUCCGUGCCAGCAGCCGCGGUAAUACGGAGGAUCCGAGCGUUAUCCGGAUUUAUUGGGUUUAAAGGGUGCGUAGGCGGAAGAUCAAGUCAGCGGUAAAAUUGAGAGGCUCAACCUCUUCGAGCCGUUGAAACUGGUUGGCUUGAGUGAGUGAGAAGUAGGCGGAAUGCGAGGUGUAGCGGUGAAAUGCAUAGAUAUCACGCAGAACACCGAUUGCGAAGGCAGCAUACCGGCGCUCAACUGACGCUCAUGCACGAAAGUGUGGGUAUCGAACAGGAUUAGAUACCCCUGUAGUC